GAUGAACGCUGGCGGCGUGCCUAAUACAUGCAAGUCGAGCGAACGGACGAGAAGCUUGCUUCUCUGAUGUUAGCGGCGGACGGGUGAGUAACACGUGGAUAACCUACCUAUAAGACUGGGAUAACUUCGGGAAACCGGAGCUAAUACCGGAUGAUAUUUUGAACCGCAUGGUUCAAAAGUGAAAGACGGUCUUGCUGUCACUUAUAGAUGGAUCCGCGCUGCAUUAGCUAGUUGGUAAGGUAACGGCUUACCAAGGCAACGAUGCAUAGCCGACCUGAGAGGGUGAUCGGCCACACUGGAACUGAGACACGGUCCAGACUCCUACGGGAGGCAGCAGUAGGGAAUCUUCCGCAAUGGGCGAAAGCCUGACGGAGCAACGCCGCGUGAGUGAUGAGGGUCUUCGGAUCGUAAAACUCUGUUAUUAGGGAAGAACAUAUGUGUAAGUAACUGUGCACAUCUUGACGGUACCUAAUCAGAAAGCCACGGCUAACUACGUGCCAGCAGCCGCGGUAAUACGUAGGUGGCAAGCGUUAUCCGGAAUUAUUGGGCGUAAAGCGCGCGUAGGCGGUUUUUUAAGUCUGAUGUGAAAGCCCACGGCUCAACCGUGGAGGGUCAUUGGAAACUGGAAAACUUGAGUGCAGAAGAGGAAAGUGGAAUUCCAUGUGUAGCGGUGAAAUGCGCAGAGAUAUGGAGGAACACCAGUGGCGAAGGCGACUUUCUGGUCUGUAACUGACGCUGAUGUGCGAAAGCGUGGGGAUCAAACAGGAUUAGAUACCCUGGUAGUCCACGCCGUAAACGAUGAGUGCUAAGUGUUAGGGGGUUUCCGCCCCUUAGUGCUGCAGCUAACGCAUUAAGCACUCCGCCUGGGGAGUACGACCGCAAGGUUGAAACUCAAAGGAAUUGACGGGGACCCGCACAAGCGGUGGAGCAUGUGGUUUAAUUCGAAGCAACGCGAAGAACCUUACCAAAUCUUGACAUCCUUUGACAACUCUAGAGAUAGAGCCUUCCCCUUCGGGGGGGACAAAGUGACAGGUGGUGCAUGGUUGUCGUCAGCUCGUGUCGUGAGAUGUUGGGUUAAGUCCCGCAACGAGCGCAACCCUUAAGCUUAGUUGCCAUCAUUAAGUUGGGCACUCUAAGUUGACUGCCGGUGACAAACCGGAGGAAGGUGGGGAUGACGUCAAAUCAUCAUGCCCCUUAUGAUUUGGGCUACACACGUGCUACAAUGGACAAUACAAAGGGCAGCGAAACCGCGAGGUCAAGCAAAUCCCAUAAAGUUGUUCUCAGUUCGGAUUGUAGUCUGCAACUCGACUACAUGAAGCUGGAAUCGCUAGUAAUCGUAGAUCAGCAUGCUACGGUGAAUACGUUCCCGGGUCU
rnacentral:rRNA from 1 species